rnacentral:tRNA from 1 species
GGGGAGUGGCUCAGUGGUAGAGAACUUGCCUGGCAUGUAUGAAGCUCUGGGUUCAACCCCCAGUACCACCA